rnacentral:rRNA from 1 species
GAUGAACGCUAGCGACAGGCUUAACACAUGCAAGUCGAGGGGCAGCAUAAAAGUAGCAAUACUUUGGUGGCGACCGGCGCACGGGUGAGUAACGCGUAUGCAACCUACCUAUCAGAGGGGGAUAACCCGGCGAAAGUCGGACUAAUACCGCAUAAAACAGGGGCACCGCAUGGUGCUAUUUGUUAAAAAUUUAUUGCUGAUAGAUGGGCAUGCGUUCCAUUAGGUAGUUGGAGAGGUAACGGCUCACCAAGCCUACGAUGGAUAGGGGAACUGAGAGGUUGGUCCCCCACACUGGUACUGAGACACGGACCAGACUCCUACGGGAGGCAGCAGUGAGGAAUAUUGGUCAAUGGGCGAGAGCCUGAACCAGCCAAGUCGCGUGAAGGAAGAAGGAUCUAUGGUUCGUAAACUUCUUUUGCAGGGGAAUAAAGUAGCGAGGACGUGUCCUGUUUUGUUAUGUACCCUGAGAAUAAGGAUCGGCUAACUCCGUGCCACGCAGCCGGACGGUAAAA